rnacentral:rRNA from 1 species
CCUUUUGUAUAAUGGGUCAGCGACUUAUAUUCAGUGGCAAGGUUAACCAUCUAGGGGAGCCGUAGGGAAACCGAGUCUUAACUGGGCGCCAUAGUCUCUGGAUAUAGACCCGAAACCGAGUGAUCUAGCCAUGGGCAGGUUGAAGGUUGAGUAACAUCAACUGGAGGACCGAACCGACUAAUGUUGAAAAAUUAGCGGAUGACUUGUGGCUAGGGGUGAAAGGCCAAUCAAACUCGGAGAUAGCUGGUUCUCCCCGAAAGCUAUUUAGGUAGCGCCUCGGACGAAUACUACUGGGGGUAGAGCACUGUUAAGGCUAGGGGGUCAUCCCGACUUACCAACCCUUUGCAAACUCCGAAUACCAGUAAGUACUAUCCGGGAGACACACGGCGGGUGCUAACGUCCGUCGUGGAGAGGGAAACAACCCAGACCGCCAGCUAAGGUCCCAAAUUACAGCUAAGUGGGAAACGAUGUGGGAAGGCUUAGACAGCUAGGAUGUUGGCUUAGAAGCAGCCAUCAUUUAAAGAAAGCGUAAUAGCUCACUAGUCGAGUCGGCCUGCGCGGAAGAUGUAACGGGGCUAAGUUGUAAACCGAAGCUGCGGCAAUGUUCUAUGAACAUUGGGUAGGGGAGCGUUCUGUAAGCCGUUGAAGGUGUGUUGUAAAGCAUGCUGGAGGUAUCAGAAGUGCGAAUGCUGACAUGAGUAACGACAAGGGGGGUGAAAAACCUCCCCGCCGGAAGACCAAGGGUUCCUGUCCAACGUUAAUCGGGGCAGGGUAAGUCGACCCCUAAGGCGAGGCUGAAAAGCGUAGUCGAUGGGAAACGGGUUAAUAUUCCCGUACUUCUUACAAUUGCGAUGGGGGGACGGAGAAGGCUAGGUGGGCCUGGCGACGGUUGUCCAGGUUCAAGUGCGUAGGCU